CAGUUAUCACAGUGCUGAUGCUGUCUACUCUAAAGGUACAGUACUGUGAUAACUGAA
rnacentral:pre_miRNA from 2 species